rnacentral:lncRNA from 1 species
AAACUUUCAUAUUUGUUCAAUUUCCCACCGUUCUCAUUUCCGGUGACUGUCAAAUUAAUGUCGCGGUAAUGUAAAUUUAAUUUUACACGUAACACUAACGUGGAUUCAAUAUACUCUAAUUAAUCCUUAAAAUCAUAAUAAUCUUAAAUCCCUAAAUCACACGGUACCUAAAUCCCUAAAAUCACACCUAAAGCUUCUACCUUCACUCCACGCUACUCGCUGAAAGCCAUUGACUUCUCUUCACGCUCCUCGGCGACGACAACACCCUCCAAGCUGUGUUCUUCCUCUAUGCGUCUUCUCUGCAUUCUUCUUCCUCGAAGUUGCAUUCUUCCUCUUUGCGUCUUCUUCCUCCAAGUCGCGUUCUUCCUUCAAAAUAUCUUAUAUUCUUCUCGCUUGGAUGAAGAAGGAGAAGGAAAAAACUGAAGAACGUUGUAGAACGUGAGGAUGAAAAAGGAGAAUGAGAAAAACAUUUAGCUGCUUGCAAAACAGGUGGAUGAAAGGAGGAAGAAGGAGAAGAAUUUUCUCUGGUUGCAAACAUGAGCAUAAAGAAUUGUAAUUUAGGGUUUUGAUUUUUUCAAUUCCAGGGAUUUAAUCACAAAUGAGUACAAAGCGACGUAGUUUCAUACAAGAAUCAAACGCUGCUUUUAGUCACCAGACGACAACAAAUGCGGCGCGUGCCGGCGAGCCACAUCAGCGCCACAUUAAUUUUGAAAAGGGAAAAAUGAAAACGGUGGGA